CAUUGGAACGUUGAAAACUACCUGCAGCAUCUCCCAGGUCGGACUAAGACUCUGUACCGUGCCCGUCGGACUGUGACUCGUUUCCGUUUCCAUCUGCUCUAUCGGAUACUCUGUCGUGGGUUGCAGUCGUGCGUUCCAAACCAACUCCUUAUAGUAAAACGAGGAGAACGAGAGAAUACGAGGGCGCGCGAAUUAAGCUGAAUUACUUACCUGACAUUCCUCGGCGGACAUUAAUAUCUGCAGGAGAGAAGGUUGCGACGCCAAGGAGACAGUCGUGGCCGCCUGAUAGAGAGUCGUGGUCGUGCGAGGGUGCGGUAAGACCAGCGGUACGGGGGAUGGUGAUUCCUCCGGCGGUUUCUGUACCAGCGCCAUCGGUCGUGGGACGUACGGAGGAGCGAGUGCUGGUCUUAAUCGAUCAUUGUGCACCGGACCUCCAGAAUGAGGGGACAAUUGUGUGACAAUCGACGAUUGUUGCUGAUGUUGCUUCUCCGAGAUAAUCGAAUGGGGCUUCGGUUUCCUCGGUCCGCGUUCAUGUUGUACUGCUAAACAUCAGCAGUCAGCGAUCUCGAAGGCUAAUCCCCGAGCGAGUGGGGUUGAUACACAUGGACGAGACACACUACCACUAUCGUUGCUAUCACCAUCACCGCCAACGCUAUCACCGACACGUCGGCGAUCGUCAACGUCAUCGCCGUCGAAGGAGAAUGGGGCGAUUCGCGAAUCGCUUGUCGAAUACGUGUGUAGGAUACUGCGAUACAUGUGUUAACACUUCAGGGAGAUUUUCGUGUUGAUUUGAGAGAUGCGCAUCAAGGGGUAGGCCAAGGUCCGCUUUACCGUUUACCGUUUAUGUGGAUGGAUUGAUGCUGCCCGUCGCGUGUACGGCACGCCUCGCUUCGUUGCGUUACCAGCCGUCCACUCUCACGCGACUCCCCCUGUAUGCUGUCACUACCCUCAACCUCCAUCCAGGGCCGAACGAGUACAUCGCGGGGUCCCGAAUAGCGAAUAUUUUCUUGGAGGACCCGACAGAAAUACAUCUAGGUGAUACAUGAUAAUUUAGACGCGAUAAAAAGACGCUCGCCGGAGAAAGAUGGUUGUUGCACGUCCUACGAAAUGUGGCCUGGUUGAUCAAAUGAGACAUCGGGGAAAACUGAAACGUUGCAUGACGAUGCGCGUUCAUUGUGACACCAUCGCGAUUAAUGGGUCUACUAUGGAGCUCCCCCCUCCCCCCACGAUAUCAUGCAAUAGAGAGACAUGAGGCACCCUAAUCGUCCUAAUGAUCCGCGGCAAGAAAAACACGGCCAUGCCUAAGCCAACCAAAGCCUUCCUUCCUCGGCCUGGGGUAUCAACCGCCUUCGUCUCACACCCAACCAACCUAACCCGAUCAACCCGGGUUACUUCAACCCCAACGGAUUACUGUCUUCGUCGUGUACACCGUGAGGCCUUCUUCUUCUUCCCCCUCCUUCUCUUCUGUAUUGCUUACGUCGUUUCGUAUCGCAUAUCCGUCGCUGUCGCACAUUUCUGAAUUUCAAUUCACAUUUCAUCCCCCAAGUACUCGAUCUUAA